rnacentral:rRNA from 1 species
UACCGAAGGCCCAAGCGUUCAUCAUAAUUACCGGGCGUAAAGCGCGCGUAGGCGGUUCAUUAAGUUGGCGGUGAAAGCCCCGGGCUCAACCUGGGAGCUGCCUCCAAAACUGAUUCGCUAGAGUACGAAAGAGGGAGGAAGAAUUCCCAGAGUAGCGGGGGAAUGCCUAUAUAUUGUUGAAUAAUACCCUGGGCGAAGGCAGCCUCCUGGUUCUGUACUGACACUGAGGUGCGAAAGCGUGGGUAACGAACAGGAUUAAAUACCCUGGUAGUCCCCGCCGGAAACGAUGACAACCACCUGGUGGGAAUGCAAUGGUUUUCAGUGGCGCGCCUAACGUCUUACGUUGUCCGCCUGGGCAGUACGGCCGCAAGGUUAAAACUCAAAUGAAUUGACGGGGACCCGCACAAGCGGUGGAGCAUGUGGUUUAAUUUGAUGCAACGCGAAUAAACCUUGCGUACUCUAGCCAUCCUUGGAAUCUCUUGUAAUGAGAGACUGCCUUUUGGAGACAAGUGACAGGUGCGGCAUGGCUGUCGUCAGCUCGAGUCGUGAGAUGUUCCGGUAAGUCGGAUAACGAGCGCAACCCUUACCCUUCUUUGCCAUCGGGUCGGCCGGGAACUAUAAGGGGGCUCCCGGCGAUAAACCGGAGGAAGGUGAGGGCGCCGUCCAGUCCUCAUGGCCCUUACGAUUAGGGCUCCCCCCGUGCUACAAUGGGAAGUGCCGAGGGACGUCAAAGCGUGAACGGGAGGUAAUUUCAUAAAACUUUUCGCAGUCCGGAUUGCAGUCUGCAACUCGACUGCAUGAAGUCGGAAUCGCUAGUAAUCGCGGAUCAGCACCCCGCGGUGAAUACGUUCUCGGGUCU